rnacentral:rRNA from 1 species
AAACUUUCAACAACGGAUCUCUUGGUUCCCGCAUCGAUGAAGAACGCAGCGAAAUGCGAUAAGUAAUGUGAAUUGCAGAAUUCAGUGAAUCAUCGAAUCUUUGAACGCACAUUGCGCCCUCUGGUAUUCCGGAGGGCAUGCCUGUUCGAGCCUCAAUGAAACCGCUCCCCGUGCGGCCGUUCCUCGAACGUCCCCGGGGGUAGUGGCGGACGCGAACGCCCCCAAAAGCGUGCGCGCCGCUCAAAUCCGCGGUCCG